rnacentral:rRNA from 1 species
AACGAACGCUGGCGGCGCGCUUAACACAUGCAAGUCGAACGAGAAGGCGUAGCAAUACGCUCGUACAGUGGCGAACGGGUGAGGAAUACAUGGGUAACCUACCCUCGAGUGGGGGAUAACCCGCCGAAAGGCGGGCUAAUACCGCGUACGCUUCCGAUCUUGCGGGAUCGGAAGGAAAGCUGUCCCUUGGGGAUGGCGCUCAAGGAUGGGCUCAUGUCCUAUCAGCUUGUUGGAGGGUAACGGCCUACCAAGGCAUCGACGGGUAGCUGGUCUGAGAGGACGAUCAGCCACACUGGCACUGCGACACGGGCCAGACUCCUACGGGAGGCAGCAGUGAGGAAUAUUGCGCAAUGGGCGAAAGCCUGACGCAGCGACGCCGCGUGGGGGAUGAAGGUCUUCGGAUUGUAAACCCCUUUCGGGAGGGAAGACGGGCCUUAGACAACUAAGGCGGACGGUACCUCCAGAAGCAGCCACGGCUAACUUCGUGCCAGCCGCCGCGGUAAG